rfam:Camelus ferus unplaced genomic scaffold scaffold265, whole genome shotgun sequence.
GAGGGUACAGCUCAGUGGUAGAGCGCACGCUUGGCAUGCACAAGGUCCUGGGUUCAAUCCCCAGUACCUCCA